GGAGAGGUCGCAUAGUUGGUCUAGUGCGUACGCCUGGAAAGCGUAUAAGGCCGCAAGGUCUUCGAGGGUUCGAAUCCCUCCCUCUCCGCCA
rnacentral:tRNA from 1 species